GACGAACGCUGGCGGCAUGCCUAAUACAUGCAAGUAGAACGCUGAAGGAGGAGCUUGCUCUUCUGGAUGAGUUGCGAACGGGUGAGUAACGUGUAGGUAACCUGCCUGGUAGCGGGGGAUAACUAUUGGAAACGAUAGCUAAUACCGCAUAAUAGUAGAUGUUGCAUGACAUUUACUUGAAAGGUGCAAUUGCAUCACUACCAGAUGGACCUGCGUUGUAUUAGCUAGUUGGUGGGGUAACGGCUCACCAAGGCGACGAUACAUAGCCGACCUGAGAGGGUGAUCGGCCACACUGGGACUGAGACACGGCCCAGACUCCUACGGGAGGCAGCAGUAGGGAAUCUUCGGCAAUGGACGGAAGUCUGACCGAGCAACGCCGCGUGAGUGAAGAAGGUUUUCGGAUUGUAAAGCUCUGUUGUAAGAGAAGAACGAGUGUGAGAGUGGAAAGUUCACACUGUGAC
rnacentral:rRNA from 1 species